UCAAAACAUUCACAUUAGAUCCAUAGUACAAACCUGCAAUUAAAAUCUAAUUGAACACUCACGUUCCUGGAGGCGAGGUAAUCCUACUUCCACGUGUGCAAAUGAAAACAAUGGUCACAAGUCUUCUAGCACUUAAAUCCUCAAAUGCCAAUCGAAA